AUAAUUGUGUUUGCUCGCAAACGAAAAUAAUUGUGUUUGCUCGCAAACGAAAAAAAAACCGACUUCAAUUACAUCGUAUAAUACAACGUAAGGUGACGAAAAUAAUGUCAAGUAAAUACGCGUUAUCAAAGAUUAAUCAAAAAGUAGUUAUCAGAUCUCGAUAAAAUUUAUAUGUGACCACAUGAUAAACAUCAGCUUUCGAUUAAAGUAAAAAUUAUCAAAAUCGAUACACCCAGUAAAAAGUUAUUGCGGAUUUUCAAGAGUUUCCCUCGAUUUCUCUGGGAUCCCAUCGUCAGAUCCUGGUUUUCUUAUCAUGGUACCAAACUAGGGAUAUCCCCUUUCCAACAAAAAAAGAAUUAUCAAAAUCGGUACACCCAGUAGAAAGUUAUGUGGUAUAAUACAACGUAGGUCGACGAAAAAAGCGUCAAGUAAAAACGCAUUAUUAGAUAUAAUUCGAAAAGUAGUUGUUAGAUCUCAAAUAAAUUUAAAUGGGACCAAUCGGCACACACCACCUUUCGA
rnacentral:misc_RNA from 1 species